CUACGGGUGGCUGCAGUGAGGAAUUUUGCGCAAUGGGGGAAACCCUGACGCAGCAACGCCGCGUGAGUGAUGAAGGCUUUCGGGCCGUAAAGCUCUGUCAAGUGAGAAGAACUUGCCCUUUGCUAAUAUCAUUGGGCACUGACGGUAUCACUGAAGGAAGCACCGGCUAACUCCGUGCCAGCAGCCGCGGUAAUACGGAGGGUGCAAGCGUUAUUCGGAAUCACUGGGCGUAAAGAGCGCGUAGGCGGUUUCUAAAGUCAGAUGUGAAAGCCCGGGGCUCAACCCCGGAAGUGCAUUUGAAACUUAGGGACUUGAGUAUGGGAGAGGGAAGUGGAAUUCCUGGUGUAGCGGUGAAAUGCGUAGAUAUCAGGAGGAACAUCGGUGGCGAAGGCGACUUCCUGGACCAAUACUGACGCUGAGGCGCGAAGGCGUGGGGAGCAAACAGGAUUAGAUACCCCGGUAGUC
rnacentral:rRNA from 1 species